UACAGAGACGGCAAGCGUUGCUCGGAUUCAUUGGGCGUAAAGGGUGCGUAGGCGGUCGGCUAAGUCGGAUGUGAAAUUUCCGGGCCCAACCCGGAACGGUCAUUCGAAACUAGUCGGCUCGAGGGCUGGAGAGGAGACUGGAAUGGUCGGUGUAGCGGUGAAAUGCGUAGAGAUCGACCAGAACACCUGUGGCGAAGGCGGGUCUCUGGACAGUUCCUGACGCUGAGGCACGAAAGCCAGGGGAGCAAACGGG
rnacentral:rRNA from 1 species